GCAUUAUUCUAAAAUCGGCAUAGCGCAUGCUUGCUCGGCCUGUUCGUCUAUACGCGCGACCCACGCGACGUAAUAAGAUACACGACAUAGCAAAAGCAUAAGGGCCGGCACCGGCAAACGGCAAAGGAUUUACCGGUGACCGGCCGGACCGGCCCGAACAGCUGUCCGAGUUCGUUGCCACAAGCGUGAAUUGCUCGAUAUUUGGUGAAAAAUGCAGUGACCAAAGUCCUUCCGCUGCCGUCUUUUUGUCAUCCACGCUAAAAAUCAAAGUGUCGUAUAUUCAGUGCAUUUUAAAGAGUGACCAGCAGCGAGUAGAGCGUUGAUUUCAUUUCUUUUGAAAUCCUACAUCUUAGGUUCUACAAACACGAAUGACUAGAGCAAACCACACAAGUAUCAGUGGAUGCACUAAAUCGCACAAGGUAAUAAUUGGAACCAACAAGAAUGUCGAGUUAUUGGAAAAGUGAUGAAAAACUGUGACGACGCCAUUUAUCCUGAAAUCUCAUUUUUUAGACUCUUGACAUUUUGAGACUCCCCAAAGUAUGUGGGGGACACAAUUUAAUCAAUCAAUUUUCUGUCUUGUUUCUUUUGAAAAAUAUAAAUAUCAUUAAUUUACGCAGUAGUUACAAACUGACAAACUUUUCUACCGUUUUAUCUUCUAAUCGAACCUUUGAAAUUUAAAUAAAGAUU